rnacentral:lncRNA from 1 species
UGAGUUUGUUUCCUCGUGGACGGCUAUUAUUUCAGUUUUCUCUCCAGCAGAUUUUCUGGAUGGAAUUGCUCCCCUUGAGUUAUAUCCUCAUUGGGUUGAGUCUUGAUUGACCGUUUUCUUUCUACCUCUUACCUGGAUAGAUAUGUUGGUCCCCUAAGAGUCUAUUACCUAGUAACUUGUAAUAUUCUUCUUAGUUUUGCAGUGUGUUACUUCUUGCCCAAUACCCGACAAUAGUACCCUUUUU